GCCAGGCUCGGGACCUAGGAGCUGGGGAGCUACCCCGCGGCGGUAUAGGCCCUGAGCAGCUCCCUCAGAUCACCCUUCAGGUCACUUCUUCAGAAAUGACUUCCCAGCCAUCCGUCUAAAGUAGCUAAAAGUUCUGUUGGGUUUCAAGAGGAAUGGCUGAUUAAAGAAAAGCACGGGAAGAAUGACUAAUCAAAAAGUCAUUUUUUUGUAUAUCUAAAUAUUUGCUUUAAGAGGUCUUUGCAGAUCCGCUGGUUCCUGAGUGAUUAUACACAGUGCUGGCUGUCAGGAGACAGUCUCCUUGUUUAUUAGCAAUGACCAGCUUAGAUGACAGAUGGCAUCUGCUGGAUGGCAAGUGGGAGAUGGGGAAAUCGGAUCUUGGAAGACAAAAAAAUUAAAAGUUUU